rnacentral:rRNA from 1 species
AUUGAACGCUGGCGGCAGGCCUAACACAUGCAAGUCGAGCGGAUGAAGGGAGCUUGCUCCUGGAUUCAGCGGCGGACGGGUGAGUAAUUCCUAGGAAUCUGCCUGGUAGUGGGGGAUAACGUCCGUACACGGGCGCUAAUACCGCAUACGUCCUGAGUGAGAAAGUGGGGGAUCUUCGGACCUCACGCUAUCAGAUGAGCCUAGGACGGAUUAGCUAGUUGGUGGGGUAACGGCCUACCAAGGCGACGAUCCGUAACUGGUCUGAGAGGAUGAUCAGACACACUGGAACUGAGACACGGUCCAGACUCCUACGGGAGGCAGCAGUGGGGAAUAUUCGACAAUGGGCGAAAGCCUGAUCCAGCCAUGCCGCGUGUGUGAAGAAGGUCUUCGGAUUGUAAAGCACUUUAAGUUGGGAGGAAGGGCAGUAAGUUAAUACCUUGCUGUUUUGACGUUACCAACAGAAUAAGCACCGGCUAACUUCGUG